UGGGGAAUUUUGGACAAUGGGGGAAACCCUGAUCCAGCCAUCCCGCGUGUGCGAUGAAGGCCUUCGGGCUGUAAAGCACUUUUGGCAGGAAAGAAACGUCGCGGGUUAAUACCCCGCGAAACUGACGGUACCUGCAGAAUAAGCACCGGCUAACUACGUGCCAGCAGCCGCGGUAAUACGUAGGGUGCAAGCGUUAAUCGGAAUUACUGGGCGUAAAGCGUGCGCAGGCGGUUCGGAAAGAAAGAUGUGAAAUCCCAGAGCUUAACUUUGGAACUGCAUUUUUAACUACCGGGCUAGAGUGUGUCAGAGGGAGGUGGAAUUCCGCGUGUAGCAGUGAAAUGCGUAGAUAUGCGGAGGAACACCGAUGGCGAAGGCAGCCUCCUGGGAUAACACUGACGCUCAUGCACGAAAGCGUGGGGAGCAAACAGGAUUAGAUACCCUGGUAGUCCACGCCCUAAACGAUGUCAACUAGCUGUUGGGGCCUUCGGGCCUUGGUAGCGCAGCUAACGCGUGAAGUUGACCGCCUGGGGAGUACGGUCGCAAGAUUAAAACUCAAAUGAAUUGAC
rnacentral:rRNA from 1 species